CAGCCGCCACGGUAAUACGAAGGGGGCUAGCGUUGUUCGGAUUUACUGGGCGUAAAGCGCACGUAGGCGGACUUUUAAGUCAGGGGUGAAAUCCCGGGGCUCAACUCCGGAACUGCCUUUGAUACUGGGAGUCUUGAGUUCGAGAGAGGUGAGUGGAAUUGCGAGUGUAGAGGUGAAAUUCGUAGAUAUUCGCAGGAACACCAGUGGCGAAGGCGGCUCACUGGCUCGAUACUGACGCUGAGGUGCGAAAGCGUGGGGAGCAAACAGGAUUAGAUACCCCAGUAGUCCCUGUCUCUUAUAC
rnacentral:rRNA from 1 species